rfam:Xiphophorus maculatus strain JP 163 A Contig85.28, whole genome shotgun sequence.
CCAAAGGCCCUUUUAAGGGCCACCCAUCCACUCAUAAGAGCGACUU